CUUAUCUCGCGAAAAGUAAGUAAAGCAACCCUCGGACAUCAUUGAGACUUGUUCAGUUCUGCGCUUCAAGUUCCCGAAGAUCUGAUCCGUCUCCACCGAUUCCGUCCUGAUAAAACGAAGGUUUUCUCUGGGCGCCAUCUGUGUGUGUGGUGGUCCUUUGAAUCCGUCUCUUGUCGGAUUGUGUCACUUUUUGGAUGAUUGAUGAUAAAGACUUGGGGUUUAUAGUCAACUUCCUUGGCAUCUUCAUCUUCGCACUGGUAAUUGCUUAUCAUUACGUAGCUGCUGAUCCCAAGUUCGAAGCCACUUGAGUUAUGUACUUUUAGCUGAUAUAAGUCCCUUUUUUCUUUACUUUAUAAUAACAGUCUUUGUUGAGAUGAAUAUGUUGUCAAGAUGUUUGUAAGCUGUUUCACAUCUUCAUUUCGUCACCUAUAUUUAGCUGAUCUAAAAGCGUCGACUUUAGGCCCAAACCAAGUAAAUGCAGCUAAGAUGGUUUAGGUUGUUUCACGUUCA